rnacentral:misc_RNA from 1 species
GAUGAAGAACGUAGCGAAAUGCGAUACGUACUGUGAAUUGCAGAAUUCAGUGAAUCAUCGAGUCUUUGAACGCACAUUGCGCCCCCUGGUAUUCCGGGGGGCAUGCCUGUCCGAGCGUCAUUGCUGCCCUCAAGCACGGCUUGUGUGUUGGGCCUCCGUCCUCCUCCCGGGGGACGGGCCCGAAAGGCAGCGGCGGCACCGCGUCCGGUCCUCGAGCGUAUGGGGCUUCGUCACCCGCUCUUGUAGGCCCGGCCGGCGCUUGCCGACACAUCAAUCUUUUUUCCAGGUUGACCUCGGAUCAGGUAGGGCUACCCGCUGGACUUAAGCAUAGCAAUAAGCGGAGGA